rnacentral:rRNA from 1 species
GCCAGCAGCCGCGGUAACACCGGCGGCCCGAGUGGUGAUCGUGAUUAUUGGGUCUAAAGGGUCCGUAGCCGGUUUGGUCAGUCCUCCGGGAAAUCUGAUAGCUCAACUAUUAGGCUUUCGGGGGAUACUGCCAGACUUGGAACCGGGAGAGGUAAGAGGUACUACAGGGGUAGGAGUGAAAUCUUGUAAUCCCUGUGGGACCACCUGUGGCGAAGGCGUCUUACCAGAACGGGUUCGACGGUGAGGGACGAAAGCUGGGGGCACGAACCGGAUUAGAUACCCGGGUAGUCCCAGCCGUAAACGAUGCUCGCUAGGUGUCAGGCAUGGCGCGACCGUGUCUGGUGCCGCAGGGAAGCCGUGAAGCGAGCCACCUGGGAAGUACGGCCGCAAGGCUGAAACUUAAAGGAAUUGGCGGGGGAGCACAACAACGGGUGGAGCCCUGCGGUUUAAUUGGACUCAACGCCGGACAACUCACCGGGGGCGACAGCAAUAUGUAGGCCAAGCUGAAGACUUUGCCUGAAUCGCUGAGAAGUGGUGCAUGG